GACGAACGCUGGCGGCGUGCUUAACACAUGCAAGUCGAACGGAAAGGCCCUGCUUUUGUGGGGUGCUCGAGUGGCGAACGGGUGAGUAACACGUGAGUAACCUGCCCUUGACUUUGGGAUAACUUCAGGAAACUGGGGCUAAUACCGGAUAGGAGCUCCUGCUGCAUGGUGGGGGUUGGAAAGUUUCGGCGGUUGGGGAUGGACUCGCGGCUUAUCAGCUUGUUGGUGGGGUAGUGGCUUACCAAGGCUUUGACGGGUAGCCGGCCUGAGAGGGUGACCGGCCACAUUGGGACUGAGAUACGGCCCAGACUCCUACGGGAGGCAGCAGUGGGGAAUAUUGCACAAUGGGCGGAAGCCUGUUGCAGCAACGCCGCGUGCGGGAUGACGGCCUUCGGGUUGUAAACCGUUUUCGCCUGUGACGAAGCGUGAGUGACGGUAAUGGGUAAAGAAGCACCGGCUAACUACGUG
rnacentral:rRNA from 1 species